rnacentral:rRNA from 1 species
AGCGAACGCUGGCGGCAGGCUUAACACAUGCAAGUCGAGCGGGCACUUUCGGGUGUCAGCGGCGGACGGGUGAGUAACGCGUGGGAACGUGCCCUCUGGUUCGGAAUAACUCAGGGAAACUUGAGCUAAUACCGGAUACGCCCUUUUGGGGAAAGGCUUGCUGCCGGAGGAUCGGCCCGCGUCUGAUUAGCUAGUUGGUGAGGUAACGGCUCACCAAGGCGACGAUCAGUAGCUGGUCUGAGAGGAUGAUCAGCCACACUGGGACUGAGACACGGCCCAGACUCCUACGGGAGGCAGCAGUGGGGAAUAUUGGACAAUGGGCGCUAGCCUGAUCCAGCCAUGCCGCGUGAGUGAUGAAGGCCUUAGGGUUGUAAAGCUCUUUUAUCCGGGACGAUAAUGACGGUACCGGAGGAAUAAGCCCCGGCUAACUUCGUG